rnacentral:rRNA from 1 species
UACGGAGGAUGCGAGCGUUAUCCGGAUUUAUUGGGUUUAAAGGGUGCGUAGGCGGGAUGCCAAGUCAGCGGUAAAAAUGCGGUGCUCAACGCCGUCGAGCCGUUGAAACUGGCGUUCUUGAGUGGGCGAGAAGUAUGCGGAAUGCGUGGUGUAGCGGUGAAAUGCAUAGAUAUCACGUAGAACUCCGAUUGCGAAGGCAGCAUACCGGCGCCCUACUGACGCUGAGGCACGAAAGCGUGGGUAUCGAACAGG